GACGAACGCUGGCGGCGUGCCUAAUCCAUGCAAGUCGAACGCAGUGGGGACGGGUGAGUAACACGUGGGUAACCUCCCAUCAGAGGGGAUAACACUUGGAAACAGGUGCUAAACCGAUACAGAUGGAUGGACCCGCGGUGCAUUAGCUCGUUGGUGAGGUAAAGGCUCACCAAGGCCACGCGUCAUAGCCAACCUGAGAGGGUGAUCGGCCAGACUGGGACUGAGACACGGCCCAGACUCCUACGGGAGGCAGCAGUAGGGAAUCUUCGGCAAUGGACGAAAGUCUGACCGAGCAACGCCGCGUGAGUGAAUAAGGUUUUCGGAUCGUAAAACUCUGUUGUUAGAGAAGCGGUAUCUAACCAGAAAGCCACGGCUAACUACGUGCCAGCAGCCGCGGUAAUAC
rnacentral:rRNA from 1 species